UUUUUAAAUUGCUGUGGUAUUUUGACUAUACGAAGGUAUUGAAAUAAGGUUUUAAAUGAGCGCUAAGAGAAUGGUUUAACGAUUAUAAGCUUUCUUUAUUUAAAAAAUUGAAUUUAAUUUUUUUGUGCAGAAGCAAACAUUUAUUUUAGGGACAAGAAGACCCUAUGAAUUUUGAAUUUAAUUUAUUUAUUUUUAAUAUAAAUUGGAUUUGAUUGGGGCGAUAGAAAAAGAAUAAGUAUCUUUAUUUUAAGUAAAAAAAGUUCCGUUAUUAACGAUUAAAUGAGAAAAAUACUCUAGGGAUAACAGCGUAAUAAUUUUGGAAAGUUCUUAUUGAUAAAAUAGUUUGCGACCUCGAUGUUGGAUUAGGAUUCUUUUUUGGUGAAGAAGU
rnacentral:rRNA from 1 species